UAACCUAAAUUUUUGAGGUAUUACGUGUAGUGCCACGAGGCAUAAUUGUAAAGAUUAAGAACGAGAAUAUCAGAUUAAGAUUGGAUAAUAAGGACUUAGACCGAAGUGGGUCUAUUGGAACUAUCAUAAAAUAAUAAUUGAAAAUUAUUAGGCGAGCAAUUGGAUUUAAUAGAGACAAAAAGGGAAUAAAAUAAAAUAAGUUGGAAAGCCAGAGUUAAUAAUAUUCACGUCAAGGUCCGUGAAAUAUUAUUAAUAAAUGAUCGUCAAAGUUUUGUAAGUAUACGAAAUCGUUUUAGGAGAAAGUUUGACGAUUAAUUAAGAAUAAGGGCUAAAGUGUAAAUUAGCCACUUUAAGGACUAAAGUGGACUUUUAACCACAAACUUCCGGAGGAAGUUGUGUUUUACUCUAUUUUCUCAAGAUAAGAAAAUAAUAUCGAUAAAGUGGUUAUCGAUAGUCAUUAAUAUGAAAAUUGGACGAAAAAGUGAGAAAAGUGCAAGUUAGCUCAAAAUGGAAAUUUGAGCGUUUUUGGCCAAAAUUGCCAAAAAUAAAUUAUUGGAAAGUAAAGCUAUAAGAUAUGGAAUCAAAAUUAUUUAUUUGGAAAUAAAUAAUACGGGAUUUAUCGAGAAUCGAAUGAUAAAGCGAUUAGUGGAUUAAAUUGGACGAAAGAAAAGUUAGAAAUUGAAAGGUAUGGAGGUGGCAACUUCAAGGAUUAAAGGAGGCACUUUGCCAAUAAUAUAUAAACCCUUUUCAUUUGAUUUAAACCAGCAAAAAAAUCAAAUUCAGCUAGCAAAAUCGUUCAUCCUACUCCUCCAUUGAAGAACAUUCAACAAAACUUGAAAUCACCAUAACUUUUUCAUUUGUGGUCCGAUUGAUGCGAUUCUUACGGCCACGGAAAGAGGAAGACGACCUCUACUGAUUGAGACCAGAAAUUUAAGGUGUUUAUUAGCUUCCAUGGACCAAUUUUGAUGAUGAAUCUUGGAGCUAGACCCUUUGGAUUUGAGGCUUCAAUCAAGAUCGGACGAGCGACUAUCGAAAAAGGUUUGAGGCAAACGGAUCGAGAUAUCGUCAUAAUUAUUUGAAGAAUUUGGAUAGCAAGUGGGAUAGCAUGAUAUUAUUUGGAAAGUCAAGCUUCCGAAGUUUUAAUUCUCGGAAGUCAUUUGCACAACAAGUGAAAGAAGGUUUUCAUUCUAGCAGUCCGCAGUAGUCUAGAUUUUUUUUUCUAUGUAUUUGACUAGCGCAUUUUAACUCUGAUAUUUUUGUAAAAUGGGGUCACAUGUAUUUUGAUAUAUGAAAAAAAUGAUUUGAUUUACGAAAAAUUUACACAGGUUUUUAGGCUUGCUACGGGUUUCGGAGCUACCACUCCCAUUCCCUAGCGCCGGUUGCGGCUCGAGAAAUCGGGUCGUGACAUA